GAUGAUGAGGAUGAAGAUGAGGAUGGUGAUGGGGAUCCCGAUGCUCCUCCUGCUCCCGCGGCUCCUCUCCUCCUCACCUCCGCCUCCUCCACCUCCGCCUCGCAUUGCUGGCCUCAGCCGCCGCCGACCAGCACAGGACAUGGUCCAAGCAGCCAUCAAACCGGUACUGCCUUCUGCCUUUGUCCAUCAGUUUCCAGCAAAAAUACAACUGCAGUCCUCCUCCUGACUUUGGAAUGAUGCAGCGGGCUAUUAGGUGAUAAAGCAUUUCUGUUUUUCCUGUUCCUUCUGGACCAUGGAAUUCAACGACAUCUCCUGUUCAAAGACAAAGCAGCAAGCUGUCAGGAGAUCCUUCCUCAGCAAACAGAGAAGGUUCAAGAUUCUUCAGAGAACUUCUGCCCUCAAGUCGUGCAAGUAGCUUUUAAAGAAAAGACAGAAGAGACUUGCUGUUAAUUCCGAAUAAUGGACCUGGGGAAUCAAAUUUAAAGGAUUCCGAGAACUGAGAAUUUUCCGUGACAGCCCUAUCAAAAGAUUAGUCUGAUUUAAAAAAUGUUUUCAUAAAUACAUAUGGAAACCUUUAGUCUGGACUACAGCAACAAUUAGCACACAGACAAUUAGCACAGGGACUCAAUGGCAAUAAGGAGUGGAUAUACAUUAGGGGAAAGAAAGCUAAAAAAAAAAAAAGAAAAAGAAAAAGCUGCACAGGUAGACUAGCAAGAGGGAUUGCCUCUGGUACACAGCAGUGCUGACAUUUGACAGAACAAAGGGAAAGAAGAUCAUUUGUAAUAACCAUCACCUCCACAACAAACUACUGGUUGAGAGUUGGAACAUUACUCAUCAUUAAGUCUCCUGAGUCAGUCCCUCUGAGCAUUUGUAAGUAAAACCAUGUACAUUUCACCUGAAAAGUUAUACAGGACUCUUCUGGACUACAAUCUUAUUAUAUCAUAGUUACUUGUUCAAACAUAGUAUGGAUUAAGAACGAUCAAAAGAAAUUAGCCACCAGUGGCUCUGCAAGAAGCUUUCUAAAGCAAGCUCGAAUUUGUAAAGCAAGUUCCUCCAAAGCCCCUUGUAAAGCAAGUCCAUUGUAAAACAAAUUAGUCCAAAGUUCAUAGACAAUUUCUUAAAUUGACAGGUAUUUGCAUAGCAAGUAGACAGGUAUUCACAUAACUUGUGUUAUUUGUAGUUCUGGCAUACAUUCAUAAACCAAGAAUUAACAUUUCACCCAGUGCUAGAGCUGUUAUUCCCUAUGUAUAUUAACACACCUGAGAAAAGACACUUAUCAGGAUGCUCAGAGCACUGCCAGAGCAUGUACCCUGGUGCCAAAUACUUAAUUCUCCAAGACACUCAGCUGUCAUUUAAAGAUUCAAACAAAACAAAUCCAGUUCAGUUUUAUCCCGUCCUCCUUAAAGCCGGUCACUGAACAAGCAGUGAGCACACACCUUUAAACACAGGCUGCCUUAUCUUUCCUCCCUCCCUGCCACAUCCAUGAGCAACAUUUGCUCUGAAUUGUCUUAAAAGUUGUUUAAACAGUUGUGUGUUUGCCUUUAAUAGUAGAAUAAAACUCCAUUAAAUGGCCCUGAAUUUACUUCAAGUGCUCACGAUGGGAAUCUAAGUGUGACAUUUUCAUUGACAUUUUAACAUUCCCUUCCAUUAACAAAAUGUCAAUGUGUUUGCCUUUGUUUGCCUGUUCACACAUAUUCAGGAGAGUUUUCUGACAUGUCCGCUGAAGGGCCAUAAAAACACUUGAAUUGACCUUGCUCUGGAUCGGUGGACCCUCCCAUUACAUUUCACACAUUUGUGCAGCGCAGAAAACUCACACCAUGAACUCCUGAGUAUUUUGGGAUCCAGCAGGGUUCUGUGACCUGGACAAAGCAAAAAUCCAGAUGGACACAUGGACACAAGAACAUAGGAAUGCAUGUCAGGGCACGUAAACUAGGAGCUCGCAACUACCAAGAGGGCCAUCGCAGACCCGUACCUGCAGCCCUCCAGUGCAAGUGGCUGCCUGCGCCUGGCCCUGGCCCCCAACGCCAGCCCAGGGCAACAGGGAAGGAGAGGCUGCACCCGCCACGGAGAAGGGCCGGGAACCUCUCGCCCCCUCAUCCGGCCCUGGAAGUCAAGAGAAACAGGAAAGCCACCGCCUGCUGCUGCUGUCUGAUGCUCUUCACUUCUCAGCAAAGGAAGCACCGCUGUGGCAUGUGGCAAUCACGGGCUCGAUUAUGGGUGCUGCUGGGGCCGGGAGUCACAACAAUCGCUGGUCUGAACACAUUUCUGCAGCCUCCUGUUCCCAAAUUUAUUUCUACAUUAAUGAAUACACCCUCUGCAGUUUAUUUCUUCUGGAAACGAGGAGCCCCCAUCUCUUCUUACACUAUCACCUUUUUAAGCUUACUGCUAGAGCUUUGGAAAUACAUGGUAGAUUGAUCGCUAUCGUUUAAGUAUGAAUCUGUGGUUAUUUAAAUGAUGAGUUUAUAUAUUCAUUUUAAAUAACUACAGGUGCUUACUCUGAGCACUGUUCCUGUAGGUAAUUUAUGAUAAUUCACUGAUGAUAGCGCACCUGUGUUUUUAUCAAACUUGUAUUUACUUCCGAGUUCUGAAGCAGGAUCUCCACAGGCACUUGCCUCAUUAGUGUCACGCUGGGAGCAACGGGGUUCCUGGCAGAAACAGCUAACAAUUUUCCUGCAAAUCUAACAAAGGUUUGUCCACACUACAGCAGUAGUGACGGAAGCAAAGCUGAGAGGAGUCACUAGACAGGAAUCCCUCACCUCCGCCGACAUUAAAGACAGGGACAACACGGGUUUUUCCAAACUGGCAAAAGCCACCUUGGCUUUGUUCCAGGGGAGGCAUUUCCAUUUUGCCUGCUCACGUUUUCUUCUGUAAAAUGAGGAAGGGGGGAAAAUCUACAUCAUUUAAAGGGUGAUGUGGAUGGUGCACGUCAGGCAUCCCAAGUUUUUUCAUGGACAGCAUACAGAACACAGAACUGCUGAAGGGAACCUUUGAGUGGGAAGAGCUUGGGGAAAAAACCCCACCCAAACAAUUUCAAAUCACACAUUAGAGAUUUCAGAUUCUGUAAUUUCACUGUAGAUGCUCGUUUCUUCUUUCAUAAUGCUCUUUUUAAUCUUAUUUUACACAAAAAACCCUUUUAGCAACCUGCUAGUGGUAAACACUCUUAGGUGUUCUUCAAAAGUGUAAUUAUAUUAGCAAGAAACUGCACAUAUGUGCGGCUACGUGUAGAAAACAAGCUAUACAGCAAGAGUCAGGCAACAGUUGGGUUAAAUUUCAUUAAUGACAAGGCUGAUGGGUCUCAUAUUUCAACUAUGUCUUUUAUAAUUUAUCAAUUUCAUCUUUUUAAUAAAUAUGCAUAUGGACAGUCCCAUUGACUAAUACAUUAUAUGCUUACACUAUAUUGGUUUCAACGAAGCUAUGCAUAAAUGUAAGCAUACAUGUAGGUCUUGUCAGAAAUGAGAUAUUACUUCAUUAAAAUGUUAAAGAAAUUCAAAUUAAAUACUCGAGCUCUGUUAAAGGCUGUGAGCUAACCUACAGGCUAUUUACAAAUACAAACGUAUCUUGAGUAUGAGACAAAAUUUAAUUUUCAACCACUAUAACCACUCUGACUGAGCUGUUGUAAACUUUGGGCACAAAGACAUAUGCAAGCAAUUUAUCAUUUAUUUUAUUGUGAUACCCCAAAGGUGUUUUGUGAGAAGUUCUAAUUUGUUGUAUUAAUUAUAUUCAAUAAUAAGAAUACAAGACUGCGGUCUCAGUAUAACUCUCACUAAAAUCUGAUGUGAUGCAUGAGGCUAUUUGAGGAAGUAUUGUUUUAAAUUAAGUAUUUUCUGUUUCAAGGGCUUUUACCAUGUUUUUCUGGACAACCUACUUGAAGAUUAACCAUUCUUAACCCAGGGGUUAUCAAUUCCUCCCUCAUUCAGGUUGGUAACCCAUUCUAUCACGGGCAGCUGCUGCCAUGUGCAUACCCUGCUGCCAUAGCUUAUGUG